rnacentral:piRNA from 1 species
CAUCAGGAAUUAAGGACACCAGUGACAGGUC